UGGGGAAUUUUGGACAAUGGGGGCAACCCUGAUCCAGCCAUGCCGCGUGCGGGAAGAAGGCCUUCGGGUUGUAAACCGCUUUUGUUCGGGAAGAAAAGGCACUUCUUAAUACGGGGUGUUCUUGACGGUACCGGAAGAAUAAGCACCGGCUAACUACGUGCCAGCAGCCGCGGUAAUACGUAGGGUGCGAGCGUUAAUCGGAAUUACUGGGCGUAAAGCGUGCGCAGGCGGUUCGUUAAGUCUGAUGUGAAAGCCCCGGGCUCAACCUGGGAAUGGCAUUGGAAACUGGCGAGCUGGAGUGUGGCAGAGGGGGGUGGAAUUCCACGUGUAGCAGUGAAAUGCGUAGAGAUGUGGAGGAACACCGAUGGCGAAGGCAGCCCCCUGGGCUAACACUGACGCUCAGGCACGAAAGCGUGGGGAGCAAACAGG
rnacentral:rRNA from 1 species